GUAAGAAAGCCGAUAUUUUUUCUUCAUUCAUUUCUGUACAGGUAACAACUCAUGGUGAAGAUAAGCCUCAUGAAUAUAAGAAAUGUGAAGAAUUCUUCCAUUUUCUUUGAUGCCUGUGAAAACUCCCAAUGAACCUAAAAAUUGUGGGAAAAUCUUCAUUGACCUUUAUCCUUUAGGGCACAUGUGAGAACUCAUAUUGGAUUUAUAUUCUAUGAAUAUAAAACAUGAGAAAGUUUUUAUACUUCACUUUCCUAAUGUACACAUUAGAACUACCAUUGGAAAGAAGACAUAUGAAUAAAACUAAUGUGGGAAAGUCUUCAGCUAUUCCUUGAUAUGAAAAAGAGCCCUAUACAUACAAGAAAUGUAGGGACAUCUACAGUUUCACUUCAUCCUUUAAUAAGUACAUGAGUACUAAAACUGGAGAAAAAUCCUCUGAUUACAAAAAAUGUGACAAAUCCCUCAUUUCUGCUUAUACAAAGCUUAUACUGCACAUCGCCUUUUGAAGGGAACCACUGCAAUUGUUAAUUUUAGAUGUCAGCUUGCCUGGAUUAAGGGCUGUGUAGAAAGAGAGUAAUCAUUACUUCUCAGUAUGUCUGUGAAGGUUUUUCUGGAAAAGUUUGAUAUUUGAAUCAGUGGACUGAGUAAGGAAGAUCCACACUCACCCAAUAAGAAUAGGCACCAGCCUUUUUUUUGGGGGGGAGGGGGUAACCAAUAGAAGAAAAAGGCACAGGAAAGGACCUCUGUGUCUUCUGAAGUUGGGAAGUCAGUAUAUUCUCAUACGCUGGAAGGUCAGAACUCCAGGUUCCUCAACCUUUAGACUCCCAGACUUUCCCAAAUAGUAUCUCAUGUCAUCAAGUCAUUGGACUUGAACAAAGCUUUGCCACCAGCUUAGCUGAUAUUCCAGCUUGCAGAUGGCCAUUGUGGGACAUCAUGGCCUCCAUAAUUAUGUGAGUUCAUUCCUUUUCUCCCUACAUCUUUCUCUCUCAUUUGUUUCUAUAUGUUUCUCUGGAGAAGCAUGAUUAAUACAUUCUUCAGUUGCUCCUCAUUCCUCUUAUAAUGCAUGAAGAGAAAUUCUAUUAAUAUAAGGAGUAUAGGAAAAUACCAACUUGUAUCUUGUUCUUUCAAAGGCAUUUGAAAAUUCACAUUAGAGAAAAGCCAUAGAAAUGUAAGAAAUGUCAUACAGUAUAAUUACUAACACUUCAGUGUGCAUGUGAGAACACAUACUGAAGAGAAAAUAUACAGAUAUAAAAUUGUAGGUAAGACUUCAAGUCUUUCCCAUUGCUUAGUCAGCAAGUGAGAACUCAUACUGGGAGAUAUUCUAAAGAGCAUGGAAAAUCCUUUAGUUUUCACUCAUAUUUUCAUAGGCAUGUGAAAACACACAAUGGAAUGAACCCCAAUAAAUAUAAUCAAUGUGGGAAAGCCUUCAAAUGGCUUUCAUAUUUAUGCAUGAGGAAAUUUAUUCUGGAAGAGAAAUAUUUAAACUGAAAGUAUAGAAUUGUUUGCCAUUCUUCAAGUAGACCCCUAGCUCAUAGUUUAUCAUUUUUAUUUGCUAAUAAAAACCUCUACAGUAAUGACCAUUGCUCCCAGUACCCUUUCAGCUAUAUCACACAACAUUUGACAUACAUUAU
rnacentral:lncRNA from 1 species